GACCAGACUUUGAUUCUGGCUCAGGAUGAACGCUAGCUACAGGCUUAACACAUGCAAGUCGAGGGGAAACGAUAGAGAAAGCUUGCUUUUUCUAGGCGUCGACCGGCGCACGGGUGAGUAACGCGUAUCCAACCUGCCCAUCACUUGGGGAUAACCUUGCGAAAGUAAGACUAAUACCCAAUGACGUCUCUAGAAGACAUCUGAAGGAGAUUAAAGAUUUAUCGGUGAUGGAUGGGGAUGCGUCUGAUUAGCUUGUUGGCGGGGUAACGGCCCACCAAGGCGACGAUCAGUAGGGGUUCUGAGAGGAAGGUCCCCCACAUUGGAACUGAGACACGGUCCAAACUCCUACGGGAGGCAGCAGUGAGGAAUAUUGGUCAAUGGACGAGAGUCUGAACCAGCCAAGUAGCGUGCAGGAUGACGGCCCUAUGGGUUGUAAACUGCUUUUAUAAGGGAAUAAAGUGGGAGUCGUGACUCCUUUUGCAUGUACCUUAUGAAUAAGGACCGGCUAAUUCCGUGCCAGCAGCCGCGGUAAUACGGAAGGUCCGGGCGUUAUCCGGAUUUAUUGGGUUUAAAGGGAGCGUAGGCCGGAGAUUAAGCGUGUUGUGAAAUGUAGACGCUCAACGUCUGCACUGCAGCGCGAACUGGUUUCCUUGAGUACGCACAAAGUGGGCGGAAUUCGUGGUGUAGCGGUGAAAUGCUUAGAUAUCACGAAGAACUCCGAUUGCGAAGGCAGCUCACUGGAGCGCAACUGACGCUGAAGCUCGAAAGUGCGGGUAUCGAACAGGAUUAGAUACCCUGGUAGUCCGCACGGUAAACGAUGGAUGCCCGCUGUUGGUCUGAAUAGGUCAGCGGCCAAGCGAAAGCAUUAAGCAUCCCACCUGGGGAGUACGCCGGCAACGGUGCAACUCAAAGGAAUUGACGG
rnacentral:rRNA from 1 species